ACCUUUCCAUUAUUUGUAGGUCCUCCAGUGCUACCUGACGGUCAGUUUCAGGAGGAAGCAUACCAUAGAAUCAUGCUGGAAGUCUUAGAAAAAUUAGGACAUUUUUUUCAGACAUAGCUAAGUGAAACUGUGGGGAUUGACAGACACAAGGAUCCUAUUAUAAAAAAUACCCAGCACAUAAAUUUAUGAGCCUCUCUAGAGUUUCCUGAAGGAACCAGAUCCCAUCUAAUCUUGAAAGCUAAGCAGGAUCAGUCUUUAUUUUCCACACUGUGAACCUGAUUGAAACUGAUCAUAAUUGUACCAAUUUUACUCAAAUAUUAGGAAAUUAUAAUACUUUGCAAGAAGAGAGUUUGGUCUUUUAAAAGGCCAUAAAUACUGGCAUAUUCUUCAAAACAUGGGCAUCUAAUCUUCUCCUGAUGAGGACCGUGUGGAUAGUUUUUCUGGGUCUUCCAGACUUAAUGGCAAAUUUCCACUGAUUUCAACUGACCCACAAACUUUCUCUGUAUUUACAGGCUAGUAAUGCUGUAUGGGUGAAUGUAGCUGCUUCAAGAAAACUGUGAGUCAAGAACAGCCUGGAAGCUGGUUCUACUGGAUGCAGCUUGUGUCUUGCUUCUUCUCUUCUUGCUGAUGGAGAUGUCUUCAAUGAGGCAGAUAAGAGACAGCGAAGAGAUUGCAAGAAAAAACAAAGGAAAGGAAAGCUAUUAAGAAGAUACACAGCUAAAGGCAAAAUGUUCUGGAUGACACAACACGAGAACCAAUGGUACCCUAAAACAGGUUCUCCUCUUUAAAUAAUACAGAGUUAGUGACAUUUUUGUUGGCCAUGAUUCCUAAUUCCCCAGUACUGCUUGCCUGCAUCUUCCCAUACAGACCAAGCCAUGGUUCUAAUAUGAUCCGUUCAUACCUUUUAGCUACCCCAGUUCAUCAUUUACUUGUCCCACUUUCUCAUAUAGUUUUAAAAUGUCUGUUUCUCUCAUUUCCCCCACCUUUCACUCUCAGCAUACUGCAAAAUUAGGCAAGGAAAGGUGUUAUAAUUUUGAUCUUCCCAAUGGCUUUUGGGAGGGGGCGUUUUCUAAACUUACUACAUACAUUCCCAGAUAUCUAUAAAACAAUAGUUUUGUAUUCUUCCUCAUUCAUCACUUUUGCCCUGCUGCUUCAUGUUCACAUCCUUUUGACCACACUCUGAUGUUGCUCAACAUGUGUCCUAGUUUUCACAUGUGAAAUGUUGGCAUAUGUGGCAUUACAUGCACUAUGGAGCCUGUGACUGAAUCAGACUUCAAAAAGUAGGAAUAAAAAUAACUGGAUCACUCAAACACAUUAGCAAAAAUACUCCCUUUAAAGAAAAUGCUUACAGUUGUCAGAAUGAUCCAGUAAUUCCUAUCCCUAUGUUUGAAAGUCUGAUCCUGCAAAUGACUGGGUGAGCAAAGCUCAAUUUUAAGGAACAGCCUUUCAGGAAAAAAAGAAUAACUGGGAUCCAUACAACAGCCAUCCUAAAUGCAAAGUAUGCUUCACUAAAUGCCUUCUUAUACUGUAAUCAUCUUUAAUUCAAUGAUUUUAAAAUUAAAUUGAUUUUAUUUUGUGAGUCGCUCUGUGCACUCUGGUCAAAACAGAAUGCAAAGCUAUAUAGACCAAUCUGCACACAUCAUUAAAAAGUUGACCUUUGCCCUAUUGUCACAAUACUGAAGGUAAAAUGGGUACAAGAAGAAAAUUCACUAUCUACUUUCAGAACGUGUUGUCGAAGGCUUUCAUGGCCGGGAUCACAGGAUUGUUGUAUGUCUUUCGGGCUGUGUAGCCAUGUUCCAGAAGUAUUCUCUCCUGACGUUUCGCCCACAUCUAUGACAGGCAUCCUCAGAGGUUGUGAGGCAUGGAUAAAAUGGGCAAGGAAGGAAAAACGAUACAUAAAAAUUGAAGUACCUUCGUCCACAUCCAGAGACCACUGCAAGCCCCAUAAUCAAUGGAUUUGGCCCAAAUGUGGCACACAGACCCCCCCCCUCCCCAUGUCCAACUUAAAUGCUAAGGGGGUUUGGUGGGGGCGGGGUGGACUCUGGACAAUUGGAGUUGCAGCACUUUCAUCCACAUCCAGACACCACUGCUUAAGCAGCUGAGGGGGAAAAGGAAGGGCCUGAUGCUGUUAGGAAUUGUGGGAGUUGAAGUCCAAAACAGCUGGAGGGCUGAAGUUUGCCCAUGCCUAAACCUAUUUCCCACUAUCCCUCUGGCUGGAAUAGUCGAGCUAACAAUAGCUGACAGCACUAGUUAUUUUGUCACUUUACUUAUAUAUUACAUUUUCCAUUUUCCCUUACUUUUGAAAAUAACAUUUCAUUUCUAUUUCUUAGACACGAUUUCGCUUAUUAAUGUGGAAGUAAUUCUGGUGUUUUCAAAGUACAAGCAGUUUGCCAAGGAUCCUGCUGAGAAGACACCUGGAACAGAAAGGAGUAAAAUUCCACUCCCUUUUGCUAAAAAUUGCUUCCCAGUAUCUUAUCGUAUUCCUAUAUUCUGUUUCUUUGCUGUAAACUAAAAUGCAGCUGUCUAUUAUAGACAAUAGAGUGCUUGUUAGUUGGCAACAAAAUAUGACUCUGUACAGAUGAACAUCUCUGCCUAAUAUACACAUAAUUGAACCCUAAAGUGUAAAAGCAUUUAAGCUACAUGAGCACCUCAUUCUGUGCUGGAGAUUUUUGUUCUAAGGAUACUUCGACUCCAGACAGCCGGAUUUAUUAAAGAACUGUUUUAUUAUGUUGUCGAAAGCUUUCAUGGCCUGAAUCACUGGGUUACUGAGUUUUUGGGCUAUAUGGCCAUGUUCCAGAAGCAUUCUCUCCUGAC